AAUGUCAAUGCUUAUGGGCAGAAGGAAGAAGGGCCUAGCCGAUGGCAAGAGAAAAGGGAAGCCAAACGGCAGAUGUACUUGAUGAGUACAGAAAAACAAGUGAUAUUGGGUGAAAGAAAAGACCUUAAGUCUACAAUGUCCGCUGUUGGUGGUACCGCUCAGUGUCAGAAAUGUUUUCAAACUGGACACUGGACUUUUGAGUGCAAGAAUGAAAGAGUUUAUAUGUCACGACCUUCGAGGACACAGCAGCUUAAGAACCCUAAAUUGAGGAUGAAACUCCCUCCUCUCUCUUAUGAGUUGGAUAACCCGGAUGCUAAGGAGCAGAAGGGUAAAGCAUCUAAGAAAAGCAAGAGGAAGCAUAGAUCAGAUUCUCAUUCUGGCAGUGAUAGUGAGGCUUCGGUUUUUGAGAG
rnacentral:misc_RNA from 1 species